rnacentral:ncRNA from 1 species
CUUAUCCAGAGCGACGGAGGGAACAGGCCCGAUGAUGUCCGGCAACCUGCCUUGGCGGCAAGGCAAGGUGCCAAGUCCUGCGGUGAAACCGGCAGAUGAG